GACGAACGCUGGCGGCGUGCUUAACACAUGCAAGUCGAACGAAGAGCGAUGGACGCUUGCUUCUAUCACUCUUAGUGGCGAACGGGUGAGUAACGCGUAAUCAACCUGCCCUUCAGAGGGGGACAACAGUUGUAAACGACUGCUAAUACCGCAUACGAUCUAAUCUCGGCAUCGAGGAUAGAUGAAAGGUGGCCUCUACAUGUAAGCUAUCACUGAAGGAGGGGAUUGCGUCUGAUUAGCUAGUUGGAGGGGUAACGGCCCACCAAGGCGAUGAUCAGUAGCCGGUCUGAGAGGAUGAACGGCCACAUUGGGACUGAGACACGGCCCAGACUCCUACGGGAGGCAGCAGUGGGGAAUCUUCCGCAAUGGACGAAAGUCUGACGGAGCAACGCCGCGUGAGUGAUGACGGCCUUCGGGUUGUAAAGCUCUGUUAAUCGGGACGAAAGGCCUUCUUGCGAAUAGUGAGAAGGAUUGACGGUACCGGAAUAGAAAGCCACGGCUAACUACGUG
rnacentral:rRNA from 1 species